rnacentral:rRNA from 1 species
CACGUAGGGCGCGAGCGUUGUCCGGAAUUAUUGGGCGUAAAGAGCUCGUAGGCGGCCUGUUGCGUCCGCUGUGAAAGCCCGGGGCUUAACCCCGGGUCGGCAGUGGAUACGGGCAGGCUAGAGGUAGGUAGGGGAGAAUGGAAUUCCCGGUGUAGCGGUGAAAUGCGCAGAUAUCAGGAGGAACACCGAUGGCGAAGGCAGGUCUCUGGGCAUUACCUGACGCUGAGGAGCGAAAGUGUGGGGAGCGAACAGG